GUCAAGCCGCCGGCUCUUCUGUGGACCAUCCUAAGACUGACAGGAAUGGUCGGCUCCCCAUUGAGCUUCUCAUGGGAUUUUCUUGAAUCUGCGGUGGCAUUUUCUAAGCAAACUGCUAUUCCCUCCCCCUUCCCUCUUUUGUAAACCUCCCUCCUGGUUCCUGGGAGUGCUGGCCUUCAGAAAUAGGAUAAAGAAGCAGCCUCUGUGCUCUGCUGUCCCUCGACAGCAGAUGGGGGGAGCUGGGAAUACUGUUUUACACAGUGUUAUUUCCUGCACUGAUUUUAAUAUCCAAAAUGUGAUGAUUUAAAUUUAGGGUGCCAAGCAGGACUUGAAUAUUCCCAGCCAUUUCCAGGAGGUGAGUUUGCUGUUUGUGAGCCGUGCUGGCUUGGCCGGGGCAAAUGCAGGAGGAUAUGCACCGAGGAUGAGAAGGUUGUUGGAAAUUGCAAGAUGAACUUUUUCUGUUGCCGACGGAGGAUCAGGUGAACCAGACCAGCCCUCCCCUGGCCUUCAAAGUGGGACUUGGUAUUCAAGGGAGGACAAGAGAAGUCGUGUGCCUUACCCAGGUCACACUAUCGACUUAUGAUUUCAUUAUCUCCAUUUAUAUUUGAAGAAACUGAGACCCAGAGAAGCUUUCAUUUCUUCAAGGUCAUAGCCUGGAAGCUGGAAAUGGAUGUGCACACCCCUGUCCUGUUCUGUGUAUCUAUCUUUGUAUAAUAAUUUAAACCAAAUAGAUAAACAGAAAUGACAUCUGCAUCUCUGUUUGGAAUUACAAUUCUAUAGCAUACAAGAAAUUAUUCAUGUUAUUUCUGGGUAUAUCAAUAAGCGAUCAGUCAUUGAUUCCAAUAUUUACACUGUGUUUUUAAGCAACUCAUACCUACUCAGUUAAUGCCCAUGGCCCCAACUUUGUACUUCUUGCCAAUAAAUUAAG